ensembl:snRNA U6 U6 spliceosomal RNA
AUGCUUGCUUUGGCAGCAUAUAUUCUUCAAAUGGAACAUAAACAGAAGAUUAGCUUAGUCCCCAUACAAGCAUAAAACAAAUUUGUGAAGCAUUGUAUAUUUUU